rnacentral:rRNA from 1 species
GACAGAGGAGCCAAGCGUUGUCCGGAUUGACUGGGCGUAAAGCGCACGCAGGCGGUCGUUCAAGUCGCGUGUGAAAGCCCCCGGCUCAACUGGGGAGGGUCACGCGAUACUGAUCGACUCGAAGGCAGGAGAGGGUAGUGGAAUUCCCGGUGUAGUGGUGAAAUGCGUAGAUAUCGGGAGGAACACCAGUGGCGAAGGCGACUACCUGGCCUGUUCUUGACGCUGAGGCGCGAAAGCUAGGGGAGCAAACGGG